rnacentral:rRNA from 1 species
CCUACGGGUGGCAGCAGUGGGGAAUAUUGCACAAUGGGCGCAAGCCUGAUGCAGCCAUGCCGCGUGUGUGAAGAAGGCCUUCGGGUUGUAAAGCACUUUCAGCGGGGAGGAAGGCGUUAAGGUUAAUAACCUUGGCGAUUGACGUUACCCGCAGAAGAAGCACCGGCUAACUCCGUGCCAGCAGCCGCGGUAAUACGGGGGGUGCAAGCGUUAAUCGGAAUUACUGGGCGUAAAGCGCACGCAGGCGGUCUGUCAAGUCGGAUGUGAAAUCCCCGGGCUCAACCUGGGAACUGCAUUCGGAACUGGCAGGCUAGAGUCUUGUAGAGGGGGGUAGAAUUCCAGGUGUAGCGGUGAAAUGCGUAGAGAUCUGGAGGAAUACCGGUGGCGAAGGCGGCCCCCUGGACAAAGACUGACGCUCAGGUGCGAAAGCGUGGGGAGCAAACAGGAUUAGAUACCCUGGUAGUC